rnacentral:rRNA from 1 species
UACGUAGGGUGCAAGCGUUGUCCGGAAUUAUUGGGCGUAAAGAGCUCGUAGGCGGCUUGUUGCGUCUGCUGUGAAAUCCCGGGGCUUAACCCCGGGCGUGCAGUGGAUACGGGCAGGCUGGAGGCAGGCAGGGGAGAAUGGAAUUCCCGGUGUAGCGGUGAAAUGCGCAGAUAUCGGGAGGAACACCGGUGGCGAAGGCGGUUCUCUGGGCCUGUUCUGACGCUGAGGAGCGAAAGCGUGGGGAGCGAACGGG